rnacentral:lncRNA from 1 species
UACUACUGUUGUUACUGUUAUUACUGCUACUAUUACUGCUAUUUUUACUACUACUACCACUACUAGUGCUACUAUUGCUAGUACUACUACUUCCCGGCCUCCGUUCGAUGUAAAUUUUAUACCAUUGUGAUCACCGUUCUUUUCUCUACAGGUUGAUCGGAGCCAAACAUUAAAACGCGACUCACGUCGGAGGAGCCGCCACACCCGAGAGCACCGCCGCCGGUAAGUUUUGGUUUUUCAUAAUUGUUUGGCCCACCGAGGGCCCUAGGGUUGUUUUAUCAUAGGGACCGAUGCAAGUGUGGCCGAAUUCGGCCAAAAACGGCCAACCCGAGGCGAACCACCACCGCAAGCGGUGGCGCCGUCGCCAGAGCACGGCGGAGCCACCGUGCCGGAAUUCUGAUAUUGGUUGAAAGGGGCCCU